rnacentral:rRNA from 1 species
UACGAAGGGGGCUAGCGUUGCUCGGAAUCACUGGGCGUAAAGCGCACGUAGGCGGGUUGUUAAGUCGGGGGUGAAAUCCUGGAGCUCAACUCCAGAACUGCCUUUGAUACUGAAGAUCUUGAGUUCGGGAGAGGUGAGUGGAACUGCGAGUGUAGAGGUGAAAUUCGUAGAUAUUCGCAAGAACACCAGUGGCGAAGGCGGCUCACUGGCCCGAUACUGACGCUGAGGCACGAAAGCGUGGGGAGCAACAGG